rnacentral:rRNA from 1 species
UACGGAGGGUGCAAGCGUUAUCCGGAUUCACUGGGUUUAAAGGGUGCGUAGGCGGAUUGGUAAGUCCGUGGUGAAAUCCCCGAGCUUAACUUGGGAACUGCCGUGGAUACUAUCAGUCUUGAAUAUCGUGGAGGUAAGCGAAAUAUGUCAUGUAGCGGUGAAAUGCUUAGAUAUGACAUAGAACACCAAUUGCGUAGGCAGCUUACUACUCGAUCAUUGACGCUGAGGCACGAAAGCGUGGGGAGCAAACAGG